rnacentral:misc_RNA from 1 species
GUGAGUCAUCGAAUCUUUGAACGCACAUUGCGCCCCCUGGUAUUCCGGGGGGCACACCUGUUCGAGCGCCAUUUCAACCCUCAAGCCCUGCUUGGUGAUGGGCCCCGCCUACGGGCGGGCCCGAAACUCGUGGGCGUCGUCGUUCGGCUCCAAGCGUAGCAAAACCCUCGCUUGGGGUCCCGGACGGAGGCCGCCCGGAACGAAUUUUUACAAGGUUGGCCUCGGAUCAGGUGGGGAUACCCGCUGAACUUAAGCAUAUCAAUAAGCGGAGGA